rnacentral:miRNA from 1 species
AACAGCACCAUCAACCGAAAGGAAUCCCUUCCGGUCAAUGGGGCUGUUACAACUCAUCAACCGGAAGGGAUUCCUUCCGGUUGAUGAGGUUGUU